rnacentral:rRNA from 1 species
AUUGAACGCUGGCGGAAUGCUUUACACAUGCAAGUCGAACGGCAGCACGGGGGCAACCCUGGUGGCGAGUGGCGAACGGGUGAGUAAUACAUCGGAACGUGCCCAGUCGUGGGGGAUAACGUAGCGAAAGCUACGCUAAUACCGCAUACGAUCUCUGGAUGAAAGCGGGGGACCGCAAGGCCUCGCGCGAUUGGAGCGGCCGAUGGCAGAUUAGGUAGUUGGUGGGGUAAAGGCUCACCAAGCCGACGAUCUGUAGCUGGUCUGAGAGGACGACCAGCCACACUGGGACUGAGACACGGCCCAGACUCCUACGGGAGGCAGCAGUGGGGAAUUUUGGACAAUGGGCGAAAGCCUGAUCCAGCCAUUCCGCGUGCAGGAUGAAGGCCCUCGGGUUGUAAACUGCUUUUGUACGGAACGAAACGGUCCUGGUUAAUACCUGGGGCUAAUGACGGUACCGUAAGAAUAAGCACCGGCUAACUACGUAGCCAGCAGCCGCGGU